UACAGAGGUCCCGAGCGUUGUUCGGAUUCACUGGGCGUAAAGGGUGCGUAGGUGGCUUGAAAAGUUUGAUGUGAAAGCUCAGGGCUUAACCCUGAAAUGGCAUUGAAUACUGUCGAGCUGGAGGUUUGGAGGGGGGACUGGAAUUCUUGGUGUAGCAGUGAAAUGCGUAGAUAUCAAGAGGAACACCAACGGCGAAGGCAGCUUGCUGGGACGGUACUGACGCUAAGGCGCGAAAGCGUGGGGAGCAAACAGG
rnacentral:rRNA from 1 species